rnacentral:lncRNA from 1 species
AAUUUUUGUGAUUUUCCAGAACCAAAUGAGAUUCAUCACUGCUACAGCCAGUGGUAUCGUAAGAAGGCUGUAAAAUCCUAGCGGAAAUACUUGCUUCACAUGCGUGCGGAAAGCCAGCUUGUUAGAUUCAUGUCUCUAAAAUGUAUCUUUCUCUCUGCUUUGUUUCACUCAUCAAGCUCAGGGAUUGAACUUACCUUAUGGAAAUGGAGGUACAUAUGAACAAAGAAGUAGAUAAACAAUAGGAUCCUCGCAACCCAUAUAUAAAAAGCAGAGACAUUUGGUUUAUUUUUCUUCACAGCUAAAACACAGAGAUUUGUUUUGGUCUAUUUAAGAGUACCAGCCAACCCAAGAACAGGGCAAUCCCGUUGAGCGUGUAAGCCUUAGAGCCUUUUUGACCACUAGUAUCCAAAUACCUGCCAUCACCACAACUGAUGU